rnacentral:rRNA from 1 species
GAUGAACGCUGGCGUCGUGCCUAAUACAUGCAAGUCGAGCGAACCACUUCGGUGGUGAGCGGCGAACGGGUGAGUAACACGUAGGUGAUCUGCCCAUCAGACGGGGACAACGAUUGGAAACGAUCGCUAAUACCGGAUAGGACGAAAGUUUAAAGGUGCUUCUGGCACCGCUGAUGGAUGAGCCUGCGGCGCAUUAGCUAGUUGGUAGGGUAAAGGCCUACCAAGGCGACGAUGCGUAGCCGAGAUGAGAGGGUGAACGGCCACACUGGGACGUAGACACGGCCCAGACUCCUACGGGAGGCAGCAGUAGGGAAUCUUCGGCAAUAGGCGAAAGCCUGACCGAGCAACGCCGCGUGAAUGAUGAAGGCCUUCGGGUUGUAAAAUUCUGUUAUAAGGGAAGAACGACUUUAGUAGGAAAUGGCUAGAGUGUGACGGUACCUUAUGAGAAAGCCACGGCUAACUACGUGCCAGCCGCCGCCGUAA